rnacentral:rRNA from 1 species
AAAAAAUCCGGAAAAUCAAGGCUGAGGCGUGAUGACGAGGCACUACGGUGCUGAAGCAACAAAUGCCCUGCUUCCAGGAAAAGCCUCUAAGCAUCAGGUAACAUCAAAUCGUACCCCAAACCGACACAGGUGGUCAGGUAGAGAAUACCAAGGCGCUUGAGAGAACUCGGGUGAAGGAACUAGGCAAAAUGGUGCCGUAACUUCGGGAGAAGGCACGCUGAUAUGUAGGUGAAGCGACUUGCUCGUGGAGCUGAAAUCAGUCGAAGAUACCAGCUGGCUGCAACUGUUUAUUAAAAACACAGCACUGUGCAAACACGAAAGUGGACGUAUACGGUGUGACGCCUGCCCGGUGCCGGAAGGUUAAUUGAUGGGGUUAGCCGCAAGGCGAAGCUCUUGAUCGAAGCCCCGGUAAACGGCGGCCGUAACAAUAACGGUCCUAAGGUAGCGAAAUUCCUUGUCGGGUAAGUUCCGACCUGCACGAAUGGCGUAAUGAUGGCCAGGCUGUCUCCACCCGAGACUCAGUGAAAUUGAACUCGCUGUGAAGAUGCAGUGUACCCGCGGCAAGACGGAAAGACCCCGUGAACCUUUACUAUAGCUUGACACUGAACAUUGAGCCUUGAUGUGUAGGAUAGGUGGGAGGCUUUGAAGUGUGGACGCCAGUCUGCAUGGAGCCGACCUUGAAAUACCACCCUUUAAUGUUUGAUGUUCUAACGUUGACCCGUAAUCCGGGUUGCGGACAGUGUCUGGUGGGUAGUUUGACUGGGGCGGUCUCCUCCUAAAGAGUAACGGAGGAGCACGAAGGUUGGCUAAUCCUGGUCGGACAUCAGGAGGUUAGUGCAAUGGCAUAAGCCAGCUUGACUGCGAGCGUGACGGCGCGAGCAGGUGCGAAAGCAGGUCAUAGUGAUCCGGUGGUUCUGAAUGGAAGGGCCAUCGCUCAACGGAUAAAAGGUACUCCGGGGAUAACAGGCUGAUACCGCCCAAGAGUUCAUAUCGACGGCGGUGUUUGGCACCUCGAUGUCGGCUCAUCACAUCCUGGGGCUGAAGUAGGUCCCAAGGGUAUGGCUGUUCGCCAUUUAAAGUGGUACGCGAGCUGGGUUUAGAACGUCGUGAGACAGUUCGGUCCCUAUCUGCCGUGGGCGCUGGAGAACUGAGGGGGGCUGCUCCUAGUACGAGAGGACCGGAGUGGACGCAUCACUGGUGUUCGGGUUGUCAUGCCAAUGGCACUGCCCGGUAGCUAAAUGCGGAAGAGAUAAGUGCUGAAAGCAUCUAAGCACGAAACUUGCCCCGAGAUGAGUUCUCCCUGACUCCUUGAGAGUCCUGAAGGAACGUUGAAGACGACGACGUUGAUAGGCCGGGUGUGUAAGCGCAGCGAUGCGUUGAGCUAACCGGUACUAAUGAACCGUGAGGCUUAACCU